CCUCCUGUGGGGGACUCUUUUCAGGUCUUUGUUCCUUUCUUGAUAAUAAACUUCGGUUGGUGACCCUUGAUAAAAGUGUAAUUUGCUCUCUGUCUGAAACGCCGAGUGCAGCGUUCAACGAGGCUGUGCAUUGCAACAGGUCCCAAUGCUGCCAUCCAGAUUUGCUGCACUUCAGCGCCAUUAAGACAAGUCCGCCUUCGUUACACGGAAUUUAACUGCACCUCCUACACGUUGCCUUCGGAAAGACUGUGGAGGAGCCUUCGCGCGGAUUUUUAUGUUGAUACUCUCAUUCAUACCCCACAAGGAAAAUGAUUCUUAGCAAGACGUCUUUUCCCUCGGAUUUCCGUCAACCUUCAGACCCCAGUUUGGGAGUUCGAGGACCAGUCCAUUAACAGGUCUGUCUUGCCGUGGCCACGGUCUUCCUGGAGGUAGACUCUGAAGCUGGGAUCCUCGGGUAUGUUGGAAUCCAGCUCAAAGGACCAAGUAAAUGUUUAAACCCAACCACUGGAUGAAUUAUGCAAAUGAAGGACAACGCCAACGCCCGCUCUGAGUCAGUCUUACCAGUUUCCCCCUUUUUAUUAGUUUCUCAAAACAAAGGGUCACAAGAUCAAGCAUUGCUGCAGCUCUUGCGAUU